rnacentral:rRNA from 1 species
GGCUCAGGAUGAACGCUGGCGGCGUGCCUAACACAUGCAAGUUGAGCGAUUUACUUCGGUAAAGAGCGGCGGACGGGUGAGUAACGCGUGGGUAACCUACCCUGUACACACGGAUAACAUACCGAAAGGUAUGCUAAUACGGGAUAAUAUAUUUGAGAGGCAUCUCUUGAAUAUCAAAGGUGAGCCAGUACAGGAUGGACCCGCGUCUGAUUAGCUAGUUGGUAAGG